CUCUACCCGGAUGUUAAAUGUCUCCAGUGGUUGCAGUGCCAAACAUCCAAAGGAUGGCUUCACCAAGACUGCACUGGAGAAUUCAGCAAAGUCUUGGGAAAUGGAUCCUUCGACUGUGGAUGCACAGAUUUGCCUGACAGCACUGAGCUCUGCAUGAGGACCUGACCAAAGGGAAAGUGCGUUCCAACAGAAUGUACCUGUGGCAGAACCCACUGUCCUCAUGACCACUGAAACAGCACCUGAAGCUGAGGACACCUAAGUGACCAGCGGAUUUUUCAGCUACUGAGGGCCGUUGAAGAUGCCACAGAAGUCGGGUCCUUAGUCCGGAAAAGGGAGAUCCAGCUCCUGGAUUAUGUUUUUGAUGUCAUGCUCCCACAAAUCCUAAUCAACAUCCUAAAAAAACAGGAAAGACGAGGCUGCAGGCAGAGAUUCUGCUGGCUCGGGGCAGCAUUUUUUAAUGCAUUAACUCAGUUGUUGUUUUUCUGUUUCUAAGAAUUACGUUUUUAGUUUUACUUGUUUGUUAUAACCGUUGAGUUGUUAAUGUACCUUGAUUCAGUUUACAUACAUUUAUACUUAACAUACAAAUAAAGUUUGUUAUUUCAAACUUUUGCUCGUCUCAAGUUCUUCAUGUUGUUUGUAUGAUGGAGUCAUGAGGAAAACUUGAUCUAUAAAGGUAGGUUGCUUUAAUAGCAGGAUGAUUCUUGAAUUUUUUUUUUAAUGAAUCUAAUAUUUAUGAGCACCUAGCAAGAUGUUCCAGAGGGAGAUGGGAAAGGGCUGAAAGAACCUCCUGAAACUUUGUAUUCCACCACAUCCAAGGACGACCAUGAAAGUCUCGCCAAGUUCUAUCCAGGAUGUGAAGAACCGUCCCCUCAUCUUCAAGUGCUGCAUGGUUUGAAAUUAACAAAACAUGUGCA